GAUGAACGCUAGCGGCAGGCUUAACACAUGCAAGUCGAGGGGUAGAGGUUGCUUGCAACCUUGAGACCGGCGCACGGGUGCGUAACGCGUAUGCAACCUACCUUUUACAGAGGGAUAGCCCAGAGAAAUUUGGAUUAAUACCUCAUAGUAUAUAACCUUCGCAUGUUGGUUAUAUUAAAGUUCCAACGGUAAAAGAUGGGCAUGCGUCCUAUUAGCUAGAUGGUAAGGUAACGGCUUACCAUGGCAACGAUAGGUAGGGGUCCUGAGAGGGAGAUCCGCCACACUGGUACUGAGACACGGACCAGAAUCCUACGGGAGGCAGCAGUGGGGAAUAUUGGACAAUGGGCGCAAGCCUGAUCCAGCCAUGCCGCGUGCAGGAAGAAGCAUCUAUGGUGUGUAAACUGCUUUUGUACAGGAAGAAACACCCCGACGUGUCGGGGCUUGACGGUACUGUAAGAAUAAGGAUCGGCUAACUCCGUGCCAGCCGCCGCGGUAA
rnacentral:rRNA from 1 species